rnacentral:rRNA from 1 species
AUUGAACGCUGGCGGCAGGCCUAACACAUGCAAGUCGAGCGGAUGAAAGGGGCUUGCUCCUGGAUUCAGCGGCGGACGGGUGAGUAAUACGCAGGAAUCUACCUAGUAGUGGGGGAUAACGUUUCGAAAGGGACGCUAAUACCGCAUACGACCUACGGGUGAAAGUGGGGGACCUUCGGGCCUCACGCGAUGAGAUGAGCCGAUGCCGGAUUAGCUAGUUGGCGGGGUAAAGGCCCACCAAGGCGACGAUCCGUAGCUGGUCUGAGAGGAUGACCAGCCACACUGGGACUGAGACACGGCCCAGACUCCUACGGGAGGCAGCAGUGGGGAAUUUUGGACAAUGGGCGAAAGCCUGAUCCAGCAAUGCCGCGUGCAGGAUGAAGGCCUCGGGUUGUAAACUGCUUUGUUACAGAACGAAACAGUACUCUCCUAAUACGGGGGCGAAGUGACGGUACUGUAAGAAUAAGCACCGGCUAACUACGUGCCAGCA